CUCCGCUCAAUAUCGGCACUUACGGUUCUCUUUCUUCGUUUUUUUUUUUCGUUGUGUGCGUUUAUGUGUGUGUGUGUGUCUGGCGGGUUCCCUCUCCUUCUCCACACCUCCCUUUACACUCCUCUGCGCCGUGCCGCCGCCGCCGUCCCUCUUCGCUGUCGGUCUCUCACGCGGCGUUUUCGCCUGUGGGUGGGCGCGCUGGAGCUUUUCUCCGCCAAGAACACUAAAAAAAAAACGUAAAAAGCCGACAAAAAACGCGUCUUUUUUUUUUCGUCUGUUUGCUCGACUCGUGACUGGCGCCCGCCCACCUGCCCCUCACACACACACGCCCCCUUCUCUUUUUCUCUGCCUUUCUGCCUUCCUCUCUGUCUCUGUCUGUAAACGCCCUCUCUUCUUCUCCCUGUUGCUAAUGCCGUGGGAGGGAGGAAAGGAGGGAGGGAGAUGCGCCAUUACCGAGACACACACACACACACACGAGAAGCCUCACCGACGUACACCUGCUUUGAGCCGUCUGCGAUUCGCUGUGCACAUGCGCUCACUUCUUUUCCCUCUUUUCCUCACUCCCCACCUCACCCCCCGCCGUCACGCGAAUGUUGUGCGCGCUUCUUUUAUAUUUUUCUAUCGAUGCUUCGGAGAGCACACGAGUGCACAUGCAUGUGCGUGUGGUCCUUUAGUUCUCCUCACGUGUGCUUUUCCUUCGGCGUUGUUGUGCGGCGCUUGAGCGUGCAUUCCCUUCACCUGCCUUCAGCUCUCCCCGUUCCCAUCCCAUUCCUUUCCCUCUCUCUCCUUCUGACUAAUCUUAUCUCGAUAUCCGGUGCUCCCAGAUGCGCUCGAGAAACGCACCCCAAACUAGAAGACGUCUGGACUACCUGGCCGCCGUGUUCUCCCCUGUCUUUCCUCUGUGUGUUUCUGUAGUGUCUCUCUCCCUCUCUCCCUAUCAGCGCUUUUCCUCUGGUUGAAUAUCCCUGCAGACAAGACAGCAGCAACUAGAAGCACGUGCUCGGGCGUGUACCGGGGCGAUGCAGUGUGCGCGCUUGUGUGACGGCGUUGUGCGUUAUGUAGGUUGUUAGUGAGCACCUGCUCGUCCAGAUGUGGGCAACCUCGUCGGCAGACGCGGCAGAGGUAGCAAACGGGAGGCGAAUGCCCUCACCCCCCCCUCUCUUUCGUUGGCUGACGCGCACAGUCGUCACACCAGUAGUAAGAUCCGCGCGUAUGUGAGCGCGUGACGUC
rnacentral:misc_RNA from 1 species